rnacentral:tRNA from 1 species
GGGCGUGUAGCUCAGCUGGUUAGAGCAUCUCGUUUACACCGAGAGGGUCCGCGGUUCGAAUCCGUGCACGCCCACCA